ACCUUCGUGAAUCGGAGAGAAAUGAAGAAUUAGAAAAAAGAGCAAAAUGGAUGAGUUGGUCACUGUUGUGGUAGAAGAGGAAAAAGAAGAAGAAAAGAAGGAUGAUGAAGAAGAAAUGGAAGAAGAUAAGAGCCAAGAAGAAAGUGUAAAAAAAAAAAGCUACAGUAGAAGAAGAAAAUAUUGAAAAAGAAGAAGCAGCAGUUGAAGAAGAAGGAA
rnacentral:lncRNA from 1 species